AUUGAACGCUGGCGGCGGGCCUAACACAUGCAAGUCGAACGAGUGGCGCACGGGUGAGUAAUGUCUGGGAAACUGCUCGAUGGAGGGGGAUAACUACUGGAACCGGUAGCUAAUACCGCAUACCAUCGGUUGUGCACAGAUGGGAUUAGCUAGUGGGUGGGGUAAAGGCUCACCUGGGCGACGAUCCCUAGCUGGUCUGAGCGGAUGACCGGCCACACUGGAACGGGGACACGGCCCAGAUGCCUACGGGAGGCAGCAGUGGGGAAUAUUGCACAAUGGGCGCAAGCCUGAUGCAGCCAUGCCGCGGGUAUGAAGAAGGCCUUCGGGUUGAAAAGUACUUUCAGCGGGGAGGCGUUACCCACAGAAGAAGCACCGGCUAACUCCGUGCCAGCAGCCGCGGUAAUAC
rnacentral:rRNA from 1 species